UUUCAACAACAACAUCUUUGAUGUUUUGAACACUCAUUUUACAAUUCGUAUUGUGUAUUCUGUUUUUUUGUGUUUGGAUUGUAAACAUCUUCAAAAGCUUUAGAUUUGUAAUGCAAUAAUUUCACCCAACCACCAGCCAUGAGAAAAGAAUAAGAACCAAGAAAAAAAACAAGAGCUUAGGAUUAUUUUUAAGAAAGAGAAGAACUUUUUUGGGGGAGGUUGAGGAUUUUUGGAGUGGUGGAAAAAUUUCACCCAACCACCAGCCAUGAGAAAAGAAUAAGAACCAAGAAAAAAAACAAGAGCUUAGGAUUAUUUUUAAGAAAGAGAAGAACUUUUUUGGGGGAGGUUGAGGAUUUUUGGAGUGGUGGAAAACGGUGUUGGAAAGUUGUUGAUGGAACAAUGAUUUUGG
rnacentral:lncRNA from 1 species